rnacentral:rRNA from 1 species
GGAAUUUUGGACAAUGGGCGCAAGCCUGAUCCAGCCAUGCCGCGUGCGGGAAGAAGGCCUUCGGGUUGUAAACCGCUUUUGUCAGGGAAGAAACGCCCCGGGCCAAUACCCUGGAGUAAUGACGGCACCCGAAGAACAAGAACCGGCUAACUCCGUUCCAGCAGCCGCGGUAAUACGUAGGGUGCAAGCGUUAAUCGGAAUUACUGGGCGUAAAGCGUGCGCAGGCGGUUAUGCAAGACAGAUGUGAAAUCCCCGGGCUCAACCUGGGAACUGCAUUUGUGACUGCAUGGCUAGAGUGCGGCAGAGGGGGAUGGAAUUCCGCGUGUAGCAGUGAAAUGCGUAGAUAUGCGGAGGAACACCGAUGGCGAAGGCAAUCCCCUGGGCCUGCACUGACGCUCAUGCACGAAAGCGUGGGGAGCAAA